GCCAGCGUCGCAUAACCCGGUAUUGCGUCGGCCUUGAGAGCCGAUUUCCUAACGGAUAUCCCGGUCAGUUUGAUGUAAGAGCAUCAACUGGGGAAAUUCAAAUCCGGGCGCUGGCG
rnacentral:tRNA from 1 species